rnacentral:lncRNA from 1 species
UUUUUUUUUUUUUUUUUUUUUUUUUUUUGCUUUUUAGGGCUGCACUUGCAGCAUAUGAAGGUUCCCAGGCUAGAGGUCCAAUCGGAGCUGCAGCUGCCAGCCUACACCUCAGCCAUGCCAGAUCCAAGCUGUGUCUGCGACCUACACCACAGCUCACAGCAACGCUGGACCCUGAACCCAUGGGGCGAGGCCAGUGAUCAAACCCGCAUCCUCGUGGAUACUAGUUGGGUUUAUAAGCAGCUGAGCCACAACAGGAACUCCCCAUCGUACAAAUAUUGAGGCUUCUGAUCCAUGAACAUGAAUUCUAUUUAUUUACAUCUUCUUUAACUCCCUUUAGUGACAAUUGGCAGUUUUCAGGGUAUACAUUUUUGUUAUACGUUCCUAAGAGUCUGAUUUUUUGAAACUAUUAUAAAUUAUUUUAUUAAUUUUAUUCUGUUCUGUUUAUUGCUCUUGUAGAGGAAUACAAUUUAUUUUUGUGUGCUGAUCUCAAAUCCUGCACCCGUGACAAGCUUAUUAGUUCUCCUGGUUUUCAGUAGGUCAUAAGGAUUUUCUGUAUACGAGACCGUGGCAUCUGCAAAUAGAGAAAUGUUUACUUCGCCGCCCCAGCAGGAACGCCUGUCAUUUCAUUUUCUUGCUUAAUGGCCAUGGGCUUGUUUUAAAGGCAUGUACUUGCUCGAUCCUCUCAGCUUCAGCACACAGCAGCGGCACGAGGCUAAGGUGCGCAUCUGACAUGUGGGAAACCGAGGGACAGGAGGCACAGCGGCAGGCACGCGGGCGCCACGGCGCUCAAAGCCCGCAGCCUCCGUGGCAGCAGCCCCGAUGAAGGCCCGCCUUUGGAGGUGAGCAGCCUCUCCCCAGAGAAAGAAAGGACCACCCAUGAGACGCCCCGCAGCCGUGAACUCGUGACGGGGGUCUGCUGCAAACAAGCCAGGCAGCAGUGUUAGUGCCGCUUUCUGACUGCUUCCUACUGCAGAGUUGCAUAAACCCGUGUGGCCUCAGGAUGCUAGAAGGUCCAUAAGCUCAGCAAAGGGCACAACCUGGUGAGGUGCAGCUGUGGGCAGAGGUCAUGUAAUUCCCGCUCUUGCCAGAGUGACUCCAAAUGCCAAACGGAAAUAAAGAGGCACAAACACAAACCAGGAAGCUUCUCACAAAGUCUUACAAGAUCUUGGCUACAGUUUCUCUACCGCAAAGCCUGAGCCUACUGUGCUCUGCGUUUUGUCUCGCGGGUGCAGCCUCACUGACAACAGUAACAUCUUGGACCAAGGACAUAUAAGGCUCCAAAGAGCCCUCCGGCCCAGGAGGUCCCACAAGGCGGGGACGGUGCCGCCUGCCCCCAGGACAGAAUUUACCAGGCAGAGCAGAUCAGGAGCCAAGAGUUGGAACCAAGAUGGAAAGGAGCAUAGAGCCUGGCCCAGGAAGGCCGUGGCCCGGCUUUGGGGUCGCCUUUGAGCUCUCGGCAGCCAACCCUGCAGUUCCGAGGUUGCUGGAGCCGUUCCACACAUGAAGCCUGAGUUAAAGGUCAGAGCCCACGAUAAGCCUCGCUCGGAAGCUGAGAUCGCUGUGACCCAAGCCUGAACAGACGUGUUCGGGGCCUGACCCAGGCGGAAGGAAAGGCAGAGCCAACCAGCAGGCAGGGAGGAACGGCGAGGUCCAGAGGUUCCCUCCGCAGCCGGGCGGCCUCCUGCCGGGUCAGGAGAGUAGAGGACGGUCCCAGAGCUCGAGGGCGGCCCCGGCUCCCACGCACACUUGCACCAGGCUGGGCUCCAGGCUGUGGAACACGCACCCCAAGGCCUAGGAGACAGGCGACAACCUUCCCCGCCCACAUCAGUCGCCCCCAGGUCCUGUCAUCCUGCCGGAGGCAACCCUGAGAUCUGCCCUCCAACCUGCUGCCGCGGCCAAGCCACGCUCACCUCUCCUUUGGCCCCUGGCUGGAAGGUCCGUGUGCCUUCCUCCAAAUGCCACGCUGAGGUGUCACCCUCCCCCGCGAGACCUUUGCAGGACCUCUCAGGGCUCGAUGGCAAAGACAAAACCCCUCCAGGUGGCCUCAGUGGAGCACAGCUGGGCUCCAGCAAGCGCUCCCCGCCAGCCUCUGCUCCAGCCGCAAGCCUGCCGGUGAGUCCUAUGGGCUCCACGCACCUGCCCAGCACACACCUGGCAGGAGGUUGCUCCCUCCGCCCAGAAGUUUCUUCCCUCCCUCCCUCUGCGUCUGCCCAGUGAGCACCCGCCUUUAACCUCAGGGAAGUCCUGCUGGCCCCCUGACCAGGCCCAGCCCCUCCUGGAGGCUCAUGGCAUGUGGGUCUUCCCACAACUUUCACGGUUGCAGCCCGACCUCUGUGUGAGUUUAAAAAUUAAUAACUAGGAGUUCCCACCAUGGCGCAGUGCUUAACGAAUCCGACUAGGAACCAUGAGGUUGCGGGUUCAAUUCCUGCCCUUGCUCAGUGGGUUAACGAUCCGGCGUUGUCGUGACCUGUGGUGUAGGUCGCAGAUGCGGCUCGGAUCCCGCAUUGCUGUGGCUCUGGUGUAGGCCGGUGGCUACAGCUCCGAUUAGACCCCUAGCCUGGGAACCUCCAUAUGCCAGGACUGGACACGCCGACCUACCCCACCGCCUGCGAAAAGACCUUUCCUCGGUGCAGGGUGGCCGCAGGCCCAGAGCCAGGGACUAUCAGCAGAGACGAUGCCCAGGAUGAAGUCAAACCACAAAACGCCUAAUCUGGGUCAGAACCCUUAUUUCCUCCGAGAUGGGUGUUCUGUUCACAACGAAAGGAAAACCACCCCAGGCCCUCACCGUGGAAGAGCACACCACGCACCUGAGAUCACUCACACAGGACAACCCACUCCAAGGGGUAUCUUAGCAAAAUGACUCGACUUUAAAGCAAAGAAAAACUCCUCUGAGCAUUUAGGCCAAAACAAACAAAUAAAUAAAUAAAGGCAUGUGACUUUAAAAAGAAAUAAAGUGCUCACUAGACUUUUGACAUAACGCCUCAUGCCAGAGUGAGGCGUGUACUUCAGAAAUCCAAAGGGAGAACAUGUGAGCCAAGAACUUACAACCCAGCAAAACUGGCCCUCGGCUCUAACAUGGAAGAACUCAGGGAGUAACAUUCCUAUGAGUCCUUCCUACGGAACUUAUGAAGGAAUAAGCAUCAGACACCCGAUGACUGAAGACCACGUGAGGUCACAUGAGGAGCAGAAACAUACAGUUGCUUCUAGAACUGACAACAGAUGAGGUUGGAAGGUCGACCAUUUAGUUUGCAAUGGGUGCUGGCCAUGGAGACGUGCCACUUACGGCUCCGUGGAGGCCAGCCGUGGGAGCACGGGGGAGGUGUCGCUGCGGCCAGGGGACCCACCAGAAGACACAUGCCGAGGUGGGCCUGCCAGACACACCAUCCCCCAAAGGCAUGACUGCCUGGUGAGCAGGAGGUCCGCCCCACAAGGACAGUCAGGGACGGCUCUCCUGCAGGCCCGAUGUUACAGAGGCGCCCACAGAGCCGGCUCCGAGACAGCCUGGAAAUGAUGGGCCCCCCGGGAAUGGAGGCCGCGUGGUGCAGCAUCACCCCCAGGUGCCAGGAGGCCUUAAGCACCUUAAGCUUGGCAAGGUCGGAAGGGCGGCCAAAGGAGCCUGGGCAGCACGGAGCUGCGAAAACGGUUCACAGAACAUGAGGCCUCUGGGCGCCAAACAGCCCUCGGGGGGCUGCUUAACAGCCGCAACUAGAGUGAGGCCAAGACGGAGGAGCAGAGGGUGGUCAUCUCAGCAGAAAGGCACGCUGCCUGGCUCAGGCCCCAGCUCUGAGCCAGCCCGGAGACCCAGAACCCACCAACCAAGAGAAGGCUGGUCCCGGGACCCAGUGACACACGUAGGGCAUGAGGGUUCCUCCAGGAAUCCAGAAGGAGCCCAGGCCACUUACCCAGGUGACUGUACACUGCAGAAAGGCAACGCCCAGGCAUUGCAAGGACUGCUGGGCACAGGGCCUGAGCCGACACUCCCACCAAGACCCAAAGGGCCAGCGUGCCUCACCGCGACCCUCGUUAGAGUGGGGGCUUCCAGGGUCAGGCGGGAGAGUCCCGGCGAAAGCCCAGGUGCAGUCCCCUGGGUCAACACCACCACCCAAGUACAGCACUCGACUCCCCUACCCCCCGAGUGGAUGACUGGAGUUGACAGGCUGACAAUCAGAGUGCGCCCACACUGAGCCCUCGGCCCGCCACCAGCACAGCCAUAAUGGAGAAAAUCAGCAGAGGCCUCUGAAACUGCGCCCACCCUCUCCUGCCAAGGCAUUAAGUUAGAAAGAAAACAGUGGCUCGACUUAUGGGGAGGAAGCUGGCAGACUGAUGCCACCGCGAACGGCCUAGAGGAUGCAGGGAUGGUGGCCCCGUUAUAUGUCCAUUUAAUUCACCAGUCUGGGUCCUGGACAACCAGACGGACCCUGGAGAGUGACUGCAGAGGCCACCACAGUUCAUCCAAGUAGGAGCCCUCGUGGGAGCUGCUGGGCUGGGUGCGCCGUCCCUGCUAGAGCAGCCUCUCCAGGCCUCGGAUACAGAGUGUCCGCAGCCACUGGCGUGAACGUAGUUUUUCCAUUUCAGCGGAAGGGGAGGAUCAGCAACAGUUCACGCGCACAUGGAACGGACGAUAACAGCUAGCUACACUUUCUCCCCAGGGUCACUUAUCUCUCGCUUUCAGUCACAACAGAGAGAACUGGGCUGGGACGUCUCCUGCGGCACAGCGGGUUAGGAGCCCAGCAUCAUCACUGCCGCAGCUUAGCUCGCUGCUGUGGCACAGGUUCAGUCCCUGGCCUGGAACCUUCUACAUGCCUCACAGCCCCCCAAACAAACAAACCAACCCAAAGAGAUGUGAACCCUCUGAACAUCCCACAGAAUAUCCCCCAGACCAGUCACAGUGACUGUGUCAGAAAAACAAGAAGUGGCUAGUUUAUCAGAGACCUUAAGACACAUGUGCCCCCAGGAGGUGGGCAACGCACCCUAGGAAGGCUCAGGGACCUACCUGCCACCUCAGUGAAGGUUUUAGGCGUCCAGUGGUCAUGGCUGUGCCAGAAUGUCCCCUUCAAACGAAGACAGACCAAUGCCUCUUUCAUCCUCUCCCACAACGAAGGAAGCGCAGCACCUGGACGCCUCUCUGGACUCUGGAAGCCACACAUUCCGCACCAAGGAAUCCUUCUCACAAAGCGCCAGCUCCUCUUUGGCGCCUGCAGCAGAAGAGGGCUCAAUAAGAGGGGCAAGCUGCUAAACCAAGAGCCUGUCACUUGGGUCCUUGGGUCCAGCAGACUCUACAGUAUGGAUGUGACAGGGAUGCGUCACGGCUGUCAUCGGCAGCAGAGAAUUAAGACACCUUUGCAGAAACGGCUCCCAGCGCGUGACUGGGCCCUGGUUUAAAUGAAAUGCCAGAUGGUGAGAGCAUCAGGUUAAAUUCUUCGAGAACUCCUGCCAUGAACUGAGUUUGAGCCAUAAAGUCGAUGCGGUCUGUAGUCCUUCUCUGUUUUGUUUGUUUGUUUGUUCUUUUUAGGGUCAUGGCAGGUGGAGGUUCCCAGGCUGGGGGUCUAACUGGAGCGGUAGCCACCGGCCUACACCACAGCCACAGCCACGCCAGAUCCGAGCUGCGUCUGCGACCUGCACCACAGCCCACGGCUGCACCGGAUCCUUAACCCACUGAGCGAGGCCAGGGACCGAACCCGCAUCGUCAUGGAUACUUGUCAGGCUCGUUACCACUGGGCCACACCAGGAACUCAGCGGUAGUCACUGGAAGCUGGAAACGGUGGCUGCAUGACGAUCACAUUCGGGGGGUGCCCUGAAAGGCAGCGGGGAGCGAGGGAGGAACCCGCAGGGGAGCUGCCCCGGUCACGGAGCAGCGCUGUGUGCAGAGGCGAGCAGCGCCCUCCUCGCCGGGGUCAGGAGACAGGAAGGAAAGGAUCUGGUUUCGGGAGACGCACGUGGGUGGACACGGGGGGGCCGGCAGGGUGAAGAUUUCAGUGUCACACAUCAGCACCCAGCACUGAAGAGAAGUGAACUAAGCAAAUCAAACCUGAGCCACCCUGGAACUGGCCCGAUAAGCAUACGAAUGGAGCGGGUCCCAAGACAGAAAGGGAGACUUCGCAGAGCCCAGCAGCACAGACUCCCACAUACCUCAUCCAGCCCUGCUGCCUUGGAGGGUCCCAUCCGCCAGCAAGAAACCAACGCUGAGCCCCUGACACAAGGUUGUUCCUUGAGGAGCCCAAACAGCCGGGUGGGGGCAAAUCGGCUAGUUCUAUAUACCGGGCGCCUUCCACCCCGGAAGGGCCAGCAGUCUGUCCUCACGGAGACACAAAGCUAUCUGGAAACCAGUUUGCUUUUUCUGCCCACAGAACC